UUUUCCCGGAUGGUUUUCCGGUUCUGGCGAGGUCCAGAGUUUUAAUAUUUUGUUGGAUCUGAGUUCCUCUUAAUUUUCUGCAAAUUUUGACUACUUAUUUGUGAGAAUUGAGUAAGAUUUGAGAAAAUAGAGAGGUUGAGAGUAGAGAGGAGAGCUUGUGCAAGCAGCUGAGAGAAGAGGUUGAAGACGAAACUUAGAAACGUAGAUCCUUGAGGCGCUGCUCCCGAGGCGGCUUGGCUUCUUGCACACGUCAUCAGGCCAUGUGCCUGUGCUGAAGCAUCAAGCAGCAACUAUAUUGGAUGAACCCGGUUCACAGCACAAGCUAAGUAUUCCCCUAUACACCUCAAUUUACGCAAAUCAUCUACUGGUAAUAAAAGGUUGGUCGAUAAAACGUUUUGAUUUUUAUUUUUUUCUCGAAAAAAAAAAUUUCGUAGAUCUGUUUUUUUUUUUAUCGUCCUAAACUUUUAAAAAUUGUUUUGUCUCUUUAAUCUUGCAAGAUACUUGAUUAUUAUUGUUGGGCGAAAUUCGAUUACGCGGUAUUUACAAGCAUGAUUAGGAGGAUGUUGCAAAUAGAUUGUGGAUGAUCUGGACUAAUCAUAAUAGUUUAAUCAUGCAUUCGCUGGAUGUCGUAUGGUACAAUCUCCUAUCUGAUCAACUUUUCUUAUUUUAUUAAUUUUCUUUUCGAACGUUCAUUUCUAAAAAAAUAUAUAUAUAUUUUUGCUCGUUUAAUUUUAUCUUAGCAAAAUUUUUGUCUACCACAUCUAAGGAGUUUUACAUGUAGGAUAGGUUUGACCCGUCCUGCAUCAGAUUUGGUAUCAGAGCCCUAGGUUAAUGUAUGAUCCUUAGAAGUGGUAAAAUUUAUCAUCCUGAACCCAUGUCUUUUGAACCCACUGCAAUGGAUCAGAUUUUACAGCAACUGACUGCUUUGAACACUAAAUUAGAUGACAUAGGGGAUCGUGUGGCCAUCCUUGAGACUAGUCGGACUGUAGUAGGCAAUGUGAUUGCAACUCCUGAUAGAAUAGCCCUCAGAGCCCAACGCCAACCCGACCUUCCUAGACAUAAUUUCUCACUAGACAACGACAUUACCAAAAAGAUCAAAAUUGAAGCCCCAACUUUCGAUGGAAGAUUUGAUCCUAAGACUUUCACUGAUUGGCUGACUGAUAUGGACCAAUUCUUUGAUUGGAACGAUAUGUCGGAUGACCGUCGCGUUCGCUUUACCAAAAUGAAACUUGUAGGGGCAGCCAAAUAAUAUUGGGUGAGUGUUGAGCGAUAAUUGGCUAGGUCUAGGCAAGCACCGAUCACGUUGUGGGAUGAGAUGAAGGCCAAAUUAAGUGAAAAAUAUUUGCCCUCGACCCAUAGGCAGCUUCAAAUAGAACAAAUGUUGUCCUUACGUCAAGGUUCAAUGUCCGUGGCUGAUUACAUGCAAAAGUUUGAUGAGAUUUCUGUUAGGUGUAAUGUCCAGGAAGAAGAGGACGUGACAUUGGCCCGGUUUAGGAGAGGAUUACGUGAGGAAAUCUAGAAAGAGAUUACACCCCAUCGAGUAAACACAGUAGAGGAUGCGUUCCAACUCGCACUCGAAUAUGAGCGUUAUCUUAAACCACCUACUAGGCGUUUCGGUUACCAAGCCGGGGAGUCAAGUACUAAGAAGUGGACCGAUAGAAACCAAAACACUGGUAAGUCAAUCGUACCCUUCAAUCAACCUAAUCGAGAUUCUAGGGGAAAAUCUUUAGUUGAAGGAACUAAACCAGACCUUUCUCCAGUGAAGUGUUUUAACUGUGAAGUAAUGGACCAUUACUCGAAUAAGUGUCCACAAAAGCGUAACUUGAUGAUGAAAAACGAUGAAGAUGAUUUCGAGGAAGUAGUGCAUGAGACUGAGGAGUAUCCAAGUGACAAGGAUGAGAGCGCGUAUGUAGAUGACCUAGACGACAUCAUUCCACUACAAGUCGUCCGUUGUGUUCUUACCACGAAGGAGGAUGAGGGUGACUGGCGACGCACUGCUAUCUUCCACACUUAUACCAAGUGCGGGGAUAAGGUAUGCAAGGUCGUUAUUGAUGGCGGCAGUUGCAUGAAUGUGGUAGCCAAAACAGCCCUUGACCGAAUGAAGUUGACCCCUGAACCACAUCCAAAUCCCUUUCGAGUUGCUUGGGUAGAUAAGACUACGAUACCUGUCACUGAGCGAUGUUUGGUCCCUCUCAACUUUGCUACAUAUAGGGAUCAAGUAUGGUGUGAUGUCCUCCCAAUGGAUGUCGGACACAUUCUUUUGGGACGACCAUGGUUGUACGAUCAUGAUGUUACACAUUAUGGUCGUCAAAACACAUACACCUUCACUCAUGAUAAGAAAAAGAUCGUGCUAAGACCUCACCGACCUAAGCUGAUUCAGUAUUCGACCAGCCAAUCUAAUGCACGUAAUGGACCAACCACAUCUAAGGAAAAUAGGUUGGUAGAGCAAACUAGACCGCUUCAAUUCUUGAACAAGAAGCAAUUUUGUAGGGAGGCUAGUUCUGUCGUUGUUUACGCAUUAGUUGUUCGAGAGGUAGAGAAGCCUUCCCUUGAAUCUGAUCUGCCAUUGAACCUUCGAAACCUAUUAUCUGACUAUUCUGAUUUGACCCCAGACGAGUUACCUGAUUAGCUGCCACCCAUGAGAGAUAUUCAACAUGCGAUAGAUUUGGUGCCUGGAUCAUCAUUGUCAAACCUGCCACAUUAUAGGAUGAACCCUAAGGAGCAUGGUGAAUUGAAACGUCAAGUAGAGGACUUGGUUAGAAAAGGUUUCAUUAGGGAGAGUAUGAGUCCUUGUGCAGUCCCGGCACUCCUUACUCCUAAGAAGGAUGGAACUUGGCGAAUGUGCAUCGAUAGUCGAGCCAUCAACAAGAUCACUAUUAAGUAUAGAUUUCCGAUUCCUCGAUUGGAUGAUAUGCUUGAUAUGAUGGCUGGAUCCAUAAUCUUUACAAAAAUUGAUCUUAGAAGCGGGUAUCAUCAAAUAAGAAUUAGAUAAGGAGAUGAGUGGAAAACUGCCUUUAAAACGAAGGAAGGAUUGUGCGAGUGGUUGGUCAUGCCAUUCGGAUUGACGAAUGCCCCAAGUACAUUCAUGCGAGUCAUGAAUCAAGUGCUUCAACCUUUCAUAGGAAAAUUCCUUGUAGUCUAUUUCGACGAUAUUCUGAUUUAUAGUAAGACCGAAGAUGAACACCUAAGUCACCUUAGGCAAGUUUUAGACACUCUUAGGAGAGAAAAGCUUUACAUCAAUACCAAGAAAUGUGUUUUCAUGCAACCUAAGGUUGUUUUCUUAGGCUUCGUAGUAUCUGUAAAUGGAGUGUCAGCCGAUCCCGAUAAGGUCAAAGCAAUCCAACAGUGGCCCCAACCGCAGAAUAUUCGUGAUGUUAGAAGUUUUCAUAGGUUAGCGAUAUUCUACUGAAGAUUCAUUAGAGGUUUUAGUACCAUUAUGGCUCCAAUUACAAAUUGCAUGAAAAAGGGAGAAUUCACAUGGACCAAGGCUGCGAGUAAGGCAUUUAAUGAAAUUAAGGAACGUAUGGCUAAUCCACCUGUCUUGAGAUUACCUGAUUUUGAGAAGAUCUUUGAGGUUUCGUGCGAUGCAUCUGGAGUAGGAAUAGGUGGAAUCUUGAGUCAAGAAGGUCAUCCAAUUGCUUAUUUUAGUGAAAAAUUGAAUGAGGCAAAGAUGAAAUACUCCACGCACGACAAGGAAUUGUAUGCAAUUGUGCACGCCCUACGAUAUAGGCGACAUUAUUUAUUACCUAAGGAGUUUGUUUUACUUUCGGACCAUCAAGCCCUUAGCUAUCUUAAGUCGCAAAAGAAAUUAAAUUCACGGCAUGCCAAGUGGGUUGCGUUUUUUGAGGAAUAUACCUAUGUUCUUAAGCAUGUUGCUGGUAUCGAAAACAGAGCUGCCGAUGCUCUUAGUCGUGUUAUCAUGACUUUGCAUGCUGUAGGAACACAAGUCAUAGGGUUUGAUCGAGUUAAAGACGAAUACCCCACGUGUCCAGAUUUUGGUGAGACUUAUAAGAAUAUUCUUGAUGGAUUGCAUGAUAACCCUGAUUUUAUUAUUCAUGAUGGAUAUUUAUUUAAGGGUAGACGUUUGUAUGUUCCCCAAGGUUCAUUGAGAGAUUUUAUGAUUUGGGAAUUGCAUUUUGGAGGUUUAGCAGGGCAUUUUGGUAGGGAUAAGACCAUUAUUUUGGUAGAGGAUCGUUUGUUUUGGCCAAGUCUUAAACGAGAUGUGGCACGUGUUGUUGCCCAGUGUGGUAUAUGCCAGACUGGUAAAGGAAAGCGAAAAAAUAUUGGAUUAUAUACACCUUUACCUAUACCUCACGCCCCCUGGCAAGAUCUUAGCAUGGACUUUGUUCUAGGACUUCCUAAAACCAUUCGAGGUCACGAUUCGAUUUUAGUUGUCGUUGAUAGGUUUUCAAAAAUGGCACAUUUUAUAUUAUGUAGGAAGACUUCUGACGCCACCCAUGUAGCGAAACUUUUUGUUGAUCACGUCAUAAAAUUGCAUGGAUUACCAAAGACUAUUGUGAGUGAUAGAGAUGUGCGGUUUGUGAGUUAUUUUUGGAAGACAAUGUGGAAAUUAAUGAACACUAAAUUACAAUUUUCUUCACCAUAUCACCCACAAACAGAUGGCCAAAUUGAGGUUGUUAAUCGAAGCUUAGGAGAUUUAUUACGUUGUCUAGUGGGUGAUCACACUAGGAACUGGGAUAGCGUUUUACCUAUGGCCGAAUUUGCCUAUAAUAACUCAGUUAAUCGCACCACUGGAAUGAGUCCGUUUGAGAUUGUCAUUGGUUACAACCCUAGGACACCCAUUGACCUAAUUCUGUUACCCGUAGACUAUAGGUCAAGCCAACAUGCUGAAGCCUUUGUUCAACAUAUAAAAGAAUUGCAUGAUAAAAUAAGACGAGCAAUUAUUUUAAAAACUGAGAUUUACGCAAAUAAAGCAAAUGAACGUCGGCGUAAAGGAAAUUUUAAAGAAGGAGAUAUGGUUAUGGUAAGGGUUCGACCAGAACGAUUUCGCAGCGGUACAGUGAAAAAGCUACAUGCAAGAAAUUUGGGUCCAUUCAAAAUCUUGAAACAACUGAAUCCAAAUGCUUAUGUCUUGGAUUUGCCUGCUAAUAUCGGGUUUAACUCAAUGGUCAAUAUCGAGGAUCUGAGCCACUACCAUGAGCCUCUUUCCAUUGAGAAUCCCAUCUCCAUAAAUAUAUCUCCACGUCAACCUCCUCCUCCACUUCCAAUCCCUCCCAUACCGAGAAAGAAAGAAGAAAUCGAACAGGUUCUCGACGACCGAGUUGUUAUUACACGAUCAGGAGAUUCGCGUAGCUUUAUGGUAAAGUGGGCAUCCCGACCAGAUGAAGAAGUGACAUGGAUACCGGAACACGAGCUUAGAGACAUUGCUCCAGAUCUCAAGCAGCUGAGAGAAGAGGUUGAAGACGAAACUUAGAAACGUAGAUCCUUGAGGCGCUGCUCCCGAGGCGGCUUGGCUUCUUGCACACGUCAUCAGGCCAUGUGCCUGUGCUGAAGCAUCAAGCAGCAACUAUAUUGGAUGAACCCGGUUCACAGCACAAGCUAAGUAUUCCCCUAUACACCUCAAUUUACGCAAAUCACCUACUGGUAAUAAAAGCUUGGUCGAUAGAACGUUUUGAUUUUUAUUUUUUUCUCGAAAAAAAAAAAUUUCGUAGAUCUGUUUUUUUUUUUAUCGUCCUAAACUUUUAAAAAUUGUUUUGUCUCUUUAAUCUUGCAAGAUACUUGAUUAUUAUUGUUGGGCGAAAUUUGAUUACGCGGUAUUUACAAGCAUGAUUAAGAGGAUGUUGCAAAUAGAUUGUGGAUGAUCUGGACUAAUCGUAAUAGUUUAAUCAUGCAUUCGCUGGAUAUCGUAUGGUACAAUCUCCUAUCGGAUCAACUUUUCUUAUUUUAUUAAUUUUCUUUUCGAACGUUCAUUUCUAAAAAAAUAUAUAUAUAUUUUUGCUCGUUUAAUUUUAUCUUAGCAAAAUUUUUGUCUACCACAUCUAAGGAGUUUUACA
rnacentral:lncRNA from 1 species